UUCAACUGCAGGGAGCACUCUCCAAGCAAGAGUCACUGCCACAAAUGAAUCAAGGAAGCACAGAGAGAUGGAGAGCGGGAGUUCCCUCCAUCACAAAUGGCCCUGUGACACCCCAAUUUCCAUUCACAGGGAGUGAAAAGCAAGCCAGGAGGAAGGAGUGGGGCUCCCAACUGACUUUGAGCUAUGCUGCCUUUAAUUCUGAACUGCUGGCUCAGCUUUGCUUUACAAUCGGCUUUGGCACAGAACAGAUGUGAUACAGCUGCAUUACAGACUAUUGAACUUACUUAUUCCUGGGUAGGUUACUCAAAUGCUCUGCAGGUAACCUCCCACAGCUCCUCCUCAGCGUGCUGCUUCCUGGGUGGGCUGCAUGGGGCUGGUUCUUGCAUCUGAAGAUAGCUUAAUGUACACAAUUUAUUUUUGCUGUUUUGCUGGGGUAAUGUCAGAUACUUGCACAGUCUCCUUGUCUGAAUCACUGCUCACUUCACGUGUUGUAUAUUUUUUCUUGUCUUUUCUUGUCUGCAGGCUUUGGUAUAAUGAUUUCUCUUGCCACAAUCAUUGCAUAUGACUUCACAUAUGAGACUUUUUUCCAUUACCAUAUUUUUUGCCAAUGUACUAACAAGGCUUCCUUUCCGGUUUGUUUAUCUUCUCUUCUAUACUUUUUCAGGUGCUGUAUUGACUUUGUGAGGUGCUAACAGGCUUGUAUUUUCAAGCUUUCCUUAUACUUCUUGGAAAAAUCAAUUUUUUUGCCUGCUUCUCUUAGACUCUGCAUCUGGACACAAACUUUCCCCGUAACAUAUACCAUGGUAGAUCUGGCCUGGUUUCUCAUGUUGGUCUUCUCCCACCGUUUAUAGGAAAUUUCUUAGUAACUCAAUGGCAGAGAAGGCAAAAAGCUGUCUGGUCUUAGCUGAGUGUACAGUUGUGUGUACCAGAAUUAGCUGGAUAAUGCCAUUCCCUGUCUCCUCUGUGGGAGAUCAUGGCUGGAUAACCAACAAGGCAACUAUCAGAAGCAAAGUACUGUUGAUGCUUAGACUGGUGGUUGUACAACCUGGGUAGCAGAGAAUACCAAAAUUCUUUGGGGAAAUCAAUGAUGAAAGAGCAAAGGAGCCACACCAGUGUUUCACAUGGUGUUAGAGGAAGUGGGUUGGCUUGUGGGAUGAAAAACACUGGAACUGGGACCAAAAAUUGAGUCGGGGACACAAGAGUAGGAAGUUACUUGUUCUCUCUUAAGAGCCUUUAUUAAAAAGGCCAGUUCUGUCUGUGAUAUUUGCUGACAUGGAAAAUCUAAGCUGCCAGGUGUCAUCUUAAAACUUCCUAUUCCAGCUAUCAUUAAGGAAAAAAAAUCUUGAACACACUAGGCUUAUGUCUCAACUAGUGAGACAUCUGAAAAAGGCACACGUAGUUAAGAACAACGCUUUGAAUUUCUGUAAUACCCGGGAUAAUUUUAUCAGAGAGGGAUUUAUGUGGUGAUGCAUUACAUUAGCCUAGUGCUGUGCAAGACGUAUGGAAAUUAGUGAUGGAUUAGAUUUCAGAAAGCUUAUAAAAAGAGUCUUGCAAGACCUUUAACUUUAAAAUCGUUCAUAGCUGAGCAAUCCAUUAAAAUAAGUAUUGAAGUAAUCCUUGGCCCAUACAGUAGUAAGAAAUAUGCUAGUGAUUAAUGGGUUUUGGUUACUUUCUUAAAAGUUUAAUACAUAUCUGUACAGAAAAUAUCUCUCAUAAUGGCAGCCACAAGACCUCACUCUGUUGUAAGUAAACUUGGAUGUAGAGCUGUGAAA